UUCACUACUUACUGUAAGUCGCUCUGGACAAGAGUGUCUGCUAAAUGACUAAAA
rfam:Salmo salar isolate Sally breed double haploid chromosome ssa23, whole genome shotgun sequence.